rfam:Haemonchus contortus, ISE/inbred ISE, WGS project CAVP01000000 data, contig: Hcontortus_21834
GGUACGAACUUGAGGUAGAGUCGAUUAGUAUGGUCAGCUGAUCCUACUAAUCUACUCUACUUCAAAUUUGGCCU